rnacentral:rRNA from 1 species
AUACGGAGGGUCCGGGCGUUAUCCGGAUUUAUUGGGUUUAAAGGGAGCGCAGGCGGAGAUGCAAGCGUGACGUCAAAUUUCGGGGCUCAACCCCGUCUCGCGUCGCGAACUGCGUCCCUUGGUUGCGGGAAGGGGAGGCGGAACUCGUGGUGUAGCGGGGAAAUGCAUAGAUAUCACGAAGAACUCCGAUCGCGAAGGCAGCCUUCCGGCCCGUCAACGACGCUCAUGCUCGAAGGUGCGGGUAUCAAACAGGAUUAGAUACCCUGGUAGUCCGCACAGUAAACGAUGGACACCCGCGGUUUGGCCUAUAUGGCUGAGCCGCCAAGCGAAAGCGUUAAGUGUCCCACCUGGGGAGUACGCCGGCAACGGUGAAACUCAAAGGAAUUGACGGGG